rnacentral:rRNA from 1 species
CUACGGGAGGCAGCAGUGGGGAAUAUUGCGCAAUAGACGAAAGUCUGACGCAGCGACGCCGCGUGUGGGAUGACGGUCUUCGGAUUGUAAACCACUGUCGGGAGGGACGAAUACGCCGCAAGGCGGGUGACGGUACCUCCAAAGGAAGCACCGGCUAACUCCGUGCCAGCAGCCGCGGUAAUACGGAGGGUGCGAGCGUUGUCCGGAAUCACUGGGCGUAAAGGGCGCGUAGGCGGCCUGAUAAGUAGGGGGUGAAAUCCUGCGGCUUAACCGCAGGGCUGCCUUCUAAACUGUCAGGCUGGAGCACAGUAGAGGCAGGUGGAAUUCCCGGUGUAGCGGUGGAAUGCGUAGAGAUCGGGAAGAACAUCAGUGGCGAAGGCGGCCUGCUGGGCUGUUGCUGACGCUGAGGCGCGACAGCGUGGGGAGCAAACAGGAUUAGAUACCCUGGUAGUCCACGCCGUAAACGAUGGGCACUAGGCGUCGGGGGGAGCGACCCUCCCGGUGCCGUCGCUAACGCAGUAAGUGCCCCGCCUGGGGAGUACGGCCGCAAGGCUGAAACUCAAAGGAAUUGACGGA